CCUGUUAUCGUCUAGUGGUUAGGACACCAGGUUUUGAAGCUUCUUCUUCUUCGUAUUUUACUCUACUCUUCUUAAUCAAGUCGAGAAUUUCCUGGUAACCUGGGUUCGACUCCCAGUAACAGGU